AUGAGCUCAGGGCAUUAAGUGCCCAGGGAAACACUGGAUGAACUGUCAAGAGAUACAAGAGGGGAUAUUGAGAAGGAAUGCACUGCUGGGAAAGGAGAAGGCAGGGAAGUCAAACAUGCGUCAGAGAAAUGAUGGGAGACAUGGGAAGGAGCACAAUACGAGGUAAGAAAGCAAGGAAACACAGUAGGAGGGCAAGGUCUGGAGAGCAAAGACAAGACAUGGAAGAAAGGCAGUGAAUUUGCAGGGAGGAGGAGAAAGCAUUUUACUCUGGAUCAGAUCUCUGCCUGCUGAUACUGCUCCUAAAAGGAGAGGAAGGCAAGAGGAGAGAAGGCAGGCAAGAAAAAAGAAGCAGUGGCUACUGGAAUUGAUUCAUGGCUAAGGGAGGAAAGUAAUUCGAGUUUAACCAAAGGGGUUAGAGGAUGCCAAAGGAGAGCAGGUGUGGCCUGUGCCAUCCAGGGGAGGUGUGAGAUACAGCAACAGUUGCCUUUUCACAGAGGAGCCUGCAGAAGCACCUGGGCUGGGAAGAUGGAGGGAUGGAUCCCAGACACCUGACACUGGGCUGACCAUGAUCCAUCCUUGACUACCUCUCAGGACUCACGCAGUCUGCAGCCUCAGCAGGUGCUGCCCAGACAGCUAAGGCCCGCUGCAGAGCAACUUCCACCAGUUCCUGGAGCAACCUGAGGAACACAAAGCAGCCAGAGGCUAGCAAGGCAGCAGGCCAGCAGUUCAACGAUUGGACUUCCCUGUAAUGUCUCUGCUGGAGUUCCACAAAGCAAUCAUGGAGCAAGCUGAGUGAGAGCAACGAGGUUGUGACAGCCCGAGCCCAUACUCAGCUUCCAGCGGCUCCCAGGGAAUGACUCGGGAUAAUGAGAUGAUUCAGAAGAAGCGGGGCUGAACAAGAUGCUUGGGACCUUCUCAGAGGUCUGCCUUACACUUCUAGUCAGAUUAAGUAUCAUGAGUAAUAGCAGUCUUUCUCUUGAAUAAUUUGCCCUCUUGAGCAUUGUCAAACUUGCAAUUAAUAGUGAGCUUUUUACCCAUUUUCAGCUGAAUUUAAAGCCUGGCUGUCACCUGCUGGCAUGUCAGGGCUUUAACAGCGACCCAGAGCUGCAGGCUGGGUGUGGGUCUGAAUUCCUACACAACUGAGUGAUUGCACAGGGGCACUUAAAGGCUUUUUAGGAGUCAAUGUCUGAUACUUCAAAAACUAGGUCUAGAGAAAAUGCUCUUUUGGCACAUCUGGCUUAGCUCUCUGUACGUAAAAGCAGAAUGGAAACUGCUGCAGAAAAAUAUGUCAUAGGCUAGCUAGGAAACAGCACUUCCAAAAUGCUAAUAUGCAUAAAAUUAGUUCAACUGCUAAGACUUAUCUGUUUAAGUGUUCACAUUACGCAUACAUAAUAUGCAGUUACAGUUAAUAGUUUCCAGCUCAGAUAUCUCAGAAUUUUAUAACAACAGAAUUUGAUUAGGCUGAUUACUCUUAUAUGUGGUUUAAUAUUAUAAUUUCAUUAUAAAACCUAAUCUGGAAGACUUUUAGCUUCAUAUGGCUCCAUUGGUUUUUUGUUGUGUGUAUUUGCAAUCCUUUUUGUGAAUGCUCUGUUAAUAUUUUUUUUUAUUCAGCAAGUCUUUGAGACCUUCGAUAACAGAUAACAGUUACUAUGAAUUUUAGUAACAGUACAGAGUACACAUUCAUGAAAUAUAAAGUGUCAAAUUUGAUCAGCAGACUAUAACCCUUAACAAAAUAGGAAUUUAGAAAUCCAUUUCUCCAUAAAGAUAUAAAAAAAUGAAAGUCUGUAAACAAAUACGGAAAAAAUAUUAUAUGAUAUCCUAAAUAAUUCAAGUUAUUACUUUCAAUUUUAACUGUAGAAUUUCAUUGGAGAGGGACUUUUUACAAGGGCAUGCAGUGAUAGGACAAGGGGUAAUGGCUUUAAACAGAAGGCGGGUAGAUUUGUAUUAGAUAUAAGGAAGAAAAGCUUCACCACGAGGGAGGUGAGGCACUGGAACCGGCUGCCCAGAGGAGCUGUGGAUGCCCCAUCCCUGGCAGUGUUCAAGGCCAAGUUGGAUGGGGCUCUGAGCAACCUGGUCUAGUAGAAGGUGUCCCUGCCCAUGGCAGGGGGUUGGAACUACACGGUCUUUAAGGUCCCUUGCAAUCCAAAUCAUUCUAUCAUUCUAUGACUAAAAACAACAAAGAGUGUAAAAACAAUAUUUCCGGUAUGUCAGUCCUUCCUUUCUUCAAGCAAAGUGGAGACUAAACAAAAUAAACUCUAGAUUAAUUAAUGUACAGACUAAACGAAAUGAAGUAAAUUUCUUUUAGUUCUGAUAUUAGUGUGAUUUAGACUGUGGCAAAAAGCCAUGAAAAGAAGUCCAAAUGCUUAAAUAUGUGCUAGAGCAGCCAUUGUAAAUUUUUUGUAAGCAAUGUUUUUUAAAAGGUUUCCUCUUUUCAAUGAAAAGUUGUUCUAAAUUUUUUUUUUUUUUUAAAGGUAUCAUUUUCAUAAAUCUGCUCUCAAAUAUCCGAGAACUCAACUGAAAUUAACUUCUUUGGGUCCAUGCUCCAGUUGUACAAACAGAUCUGCACAUGAGGAUAGUUAAGCUAUUACUGAAUAGGCUCCAAAGAGUGAUCUUUUUGAUGUUAGAAACACAGUAUUUUUACUCCAGUGUAACUUCUGUCAUUUAAACAGACGUGUCACAAACAAAGGGUGAAAGAACCCAGCCAUACUCAGAGAUAGUAAAAAAAAUGACAUUUUUACUCCACUGGAGGUUUUAACAACAGGAAGAAAGUCUAAGUUCACCAUGGAAUAUAAAUUCUAUCCCCUUCCCAAAAUAUUUUGAGAAUCUGAAUAAUGUAACAGAGCAAAUGAAAUAGAUAAAUAAACUCUGAUAUUAGAAGAAAAUGCCUUCAGCAACGAAACUGAAAUAUUUUGCUAUUACUAAAACAGAACAAAGAAGUCAGAAUGAUUUCUUCUUCUGAUUUCUUAUUCUUUGCCUAAUGUUUGAGGGAAACCUUUCUGUUUUAAUAAGACUUCCUUUUUUAUAACAGGAAACUCUUCAGUUGAAAACAUUUUAGGCCACACUACCUACAAACCUGAAUAUGCAAAAGCUGAGAGAGAGAGGCGUACAGAUUACAGCUCCACCAUGGCUACGGGGAAGAGAUUAAUAUCUUUGUUUCUGCAAAAGCCUCAUACACUUGCAAAUUCGGGGUCAUCUUUAACGUUACUUCAUCAGUCUCCAGAAAUAUUUCAAAUGGUAACAUGUAACUCAAGGAAACUGAAAGCCAUCUGACUCCAUGUACUUACUCAAAAAAGGUGGUCCAUCCAGUCUCGUCACUUUUAGUUGCCAGAAGUCCA